rnacentral:antisense_RNA from 1 species
GUACGCCUGCAGCGUUCGCUGGCACAGCGCCGAACGCACGCAGUCAUCUUUGGUAAAGCGUACCACCCCAAUCAUCUCGUCUUCUUCAAAACGAGCCAUGGCGUCACUCAGGCCGGACUUGACGCCCGACGGCAGGUCGCACUGGGUGAUAUCGCCAUUGACGAUGACCGUCACGUUCUCCCCGAGGCGCGU